GCGGCAGGCCUAACACAUGCAAGUCGAGCGGUAGAGAGAAGCUUGCUUCUCUUGAGAGCGGCGGACGGGUGAGUAAUGCCUAGGAAUCUGCCUGGUAGUGGGGGAUAACGUUCGGAAACGGACGCUAAUACCGCAUACGUCCUACGGGAGAAAGCAGGGGACCUUCGGGCCUUGCGCUAUCAGAUGAGCCUAGGUCGGAUUAGCUAGUUGGUGAGGUAAUGGCUCACCAAGGCGACGAUCCGUAACUGGUCUGAGAGGAUGAUCAGUCACACUGGAACUGAGACACGGUCCAGACUCCUACGGGAGGCAGCAGUGGGGAAUAUUGGACAAUGGGCGAAAGCCUGAUCCAGCCAUGCCGCGUGUGUGAAGAAGGUCUUCGGAUUGUAAAGCACUUUAAGUUGGGAGGAAGGGUUGUAGAUUAAUACUCUGCAAUUUUGACGUUACCGACAGAAUAAGCACCGGCUAACUCUGUGCCAGCAGCCGCGGUAAUACAGAGGGUGCAAGCGUUAAUCGGAAUUACUGGGCGUAAAGCGCGCGUAGGUGGUUUGUUAGGUUGGAUGUGAAAUCCCCGGGCUCAACCUGGGAACUGCAUUCAAAACUGACUGACUAGAGUAUGGUAGAGGGUGGUGGAAUUUCCUGUGUAGCGGUGAAAUGCGUAGAUAUAGGAAGGAACACCAGUGGCGAAGGCGACCACCUGGACUAAUACUGACACUGAGGUGCGAAAGCG
rnacentral:rRNA from 1 species